rnacentral:rRNA from 1 species
UACGUAGGGUGCAGGCGUUAAUCGGAAUUACUGGGCGUAAAGCGUGCGCAGGCGGUUUCUUAAGUCAGAUGUGAAAGCCCCGGGCUUAACCUGGGAACUGCGCUUGAAACUGGGAGACUUGAGUGUAGCAGAGGGGGGUGGAAUUCCACGUGUAGCAGUGAAAUGCGUAGAUAUGUGGAGGAACACCGAUGGCGAAGGCCACCCCCUGGGUUAACACUGACGCUCAUGCACGAAAGCGUGGGGAGCAAACAGG